rnacentral:lncRNA from 1 species
AAAUGUAAAAUAUACAUAUAUUUUACCAUACCGAACUCUAUUUAUAUCGAAAUAUUCAGUAUAAGAAUUUGCAUUGGAGACUUCAAAAUAUUAUGAUGGCUAACCUACUUUUUUUUUUAUUUCGAUACUUUGAAUCCAUUGACACACGAAUGGAAAAUAAGAGUCAAGAUUCUGAGAAAAUUUACGUGUACUACUCCUCCUUACAACUCGAGAAAAUUUACGUGUACUACUCCUCCUUACAACUCACUCGAUCUGUUUUUAGUAGAUGGAAAGAUAUUUUCACGAAUUAGAGUAUUGA